GACCUCUGGCACAUGCGCACUUUCCCACUUUCUCCGGGGCGGGUUUCGCACUUGACGCACAUGCGCACUUCCCCACCUCUUGGGGCUGGUCUAGAGAAAGGCGCGGCCUCUGCUUCCACUGGUACGCGCAGGGCAUUGUAUUUUAAGUAAUUAUGUCCAUUUUUUCCCCAUUUUCAUCCCCUCUUAUUUAACUUGGAUGCAGCAAUUAAAUGUUAUUUAAAGAAUCCUAAAGCUGGAGCUGAAAUUUGGACUGGUAACAAACCAGCUGUGGAGUGUUGAGUAAAUCGCUUAAACGGGGGGAUCCUCGCCCUCUUACUGAUCUGUGAGGCGCGGCCUGCCUUGUCGCGCUGCUGGGUGGACUUGUGUGGAAACUACUGCUGGCGCCCCGGGCCCUCCAGGUCCCCGUGGAGCCGCGGUUUUCAGGCCGAGCCACCUCCCUAAGCACAGUGUCCCAGAGAAGCAAGAAGCCAAGCGAGGCUUUGAUCCAGCACUGAAGGAAGUGACGGCAGGAGCUGGAAACGGGACAUUUCUGCGGUCAGCUGGAAGGAGAGGCAAGGAAAAAAAAUAGAAGCUUCUUUAAGUUUUCCCGCUACCUGCAGUUCCUGAUACUACCAGCUCUUUAACACAGCAGGCUGCCUCUCACCUCAAGGGUUUUUUGCAUACGGAAACAAUUUGGUGAGCAUUCUGAAGUCAGCUGAGCACACUCCUGUUGUGGUUUUAACCAGUACCUCCCACCGUUCUCUGUCGGUCCUCCCAUUCCGGCUGACAGGUUCUGGAGCUCUCCUCACUCGGUCACCAGAGGUCCAGUGCUGUCACCUAACCAGGUUACUUAACUGACCUAAGGAGCUGAAGGAACUUUAACGUAUGUCUAGCCGGACGCCUUCGGGUUCCUGAGGGCAGGAUGAAGAGCUCUCCCAAAGUGCCUGCGUUAGUGGAGGACCGUGGUGUCGUCACUUCUUCAACCGGAUAACCCCACGAUAGGUGAUCAUGUAAGGUCCCUGAAAUUUCACUUCUGAUUUACCAGUGUUUCUCCCAGAGCUCCUGGCUCGGGGUCUUCUACAAAACAGAUACACAGAUGUGAGAGAUACUGGAAGCUGGGAAGCUCUUGAGACUCUGGAACCCACAGAUCAACGUGGCCAUGAGUUCCCUGAGUUUUCCUUAACCUCAUCUAUCCUGGAGAUGCCGCUGAGAAAUGCCAACGGGCACAGACCAAAUAAAGUCCCAAGGGAAGCCGGCUUGCUUUCUCUAGCCGAAUGACUGGGAUAAAAGCCAUCAGUAAGACAGAAAACUUUUAGACAGUCACUGCCCUACUUCAGCCAGACAGUACGGAAAAGUCAAUCGCCACCCCCAUUAGCAAAGACCAAGUGGGGCCUCCCAGGCCUCCACCCUCCCCAUUCCCCUCCUUGCCAAGACAGAAUCAUAGAAGACAGAGUGGGGGGCCAGGCCUUUCAUCCCUCCCCAGAGAUAACGAGCUCCCCAUCCAGAGGUAACAAGUGUAACGUCAGAGUAUCAGAGGAGGCUAUCUGGGGUGUCUGAAAUCCUACAUCCUAUAUCUGGGGUGUCUGAAAUUCUGUAUCCACCACUAGCAAAGAGAUACCUCUUCCCCCAACCCUGGGCUGAUAAAAGAGGCUAAGUGGAGAACAUGGACCUUUACCCUUGACUGGCAGUAGUGAGGAGAUGCCCUUUACCCACAGCUGAGAUAAUGUCAGAGGAAUCCUUCUAAAACAGAAGGGAAAUAGCGCUGGCACAGCCUUAGAGUAGGAGCUGACCAAGCAGGGAAGUGGGAGGAGAGAGACACUGGACUGCUCGCAGGGUAAACACCAGGCACAGAUUUAAAUAAGAUCUAGAGUCUCAUAACACACAAAAUGUCCAGCAUGCAAUCAAAAUCAUACAUCAUCCCCCAAAUUAGGAAAAUCUCAACUUAAAUUGAAAAAAAAAACCCAGCAGAUAUCAACACCAAUAUGAU